CUAAUCUCAUAUAUGUCACAUUUCUCAUGAACAAAAACGAGGCAUUGGCAUUAACAGGACUAAUAAUACAAUGAUUCAAAAUACAGCUAGACAGUGCAUCAAUCUUUACAUAGUCAGGUGAAUCAAAUCAGUCAGUUCUUCCAGGGAAACAAUCAUAUUCAGGUUUCAGAACUCUCAAACUGGCACCGAUCCAAAACAUAGAAAGCAUCAUGCAGCAUGAAAGCCAAUCAUCACCUCCCACGCACAAUGGCAGGUGAUCGAGCACCUUUAUCACUGCUAAUGUCUUCAUCAAUUUCACUUCCAUCAACCCACACAACGUUGCUGCUUACACUCACCUCAGAACUAGUAUUACUGCUCGUGGCAAGUGGGGAGUCAGGCACGCUAAUUGACCUGCUUGUCCUGCCUCUAGUAGGCGGCCCUGAUCUCACACUGUACAUAGAGGAUGCUGGAAUAUUAGUCAUCAAGGGACGCAAAUUAACCGAGACUCUCUGCCUUAUAUCCUGUCCAAGAACAAUGUCUCAAAGUUAAGCAAAUCCAAAAAGGAUAAGAGAACAAGAAGGCCAACAAGACAGAUCAUCUAAGACUUAGAGCUAUAAAAAAAACAACACAAAUAUUGCUACUCUAAUCAGUUUUUGAAAAUAUACUUAUGUCUUCAGUCUAUGGUAGAGCACAAUAUUCUAUUAGCAUAGGAAUGUGAAAAGAAUGUAUAUACCAUAUGUCUAAUAGCCAUAUCCAAGGAUUUCUUUGAUAAUGAUCUUCCAAAACCUGAGCUAUCAGGUGACGAAGACUUUGCAGAUCAAGUUACUGCGUGGAGAAUGUUUGUCAUCUUGUUUUUGGAGGAAUCAGCUUCUGCAUAUUUAUUACCCUUUCAACCAUUUUGGUCCCAACCAUGCCAGGGCUUACAUUGUCCUUGGCUUUAGCAUGAAGUCGGCUCAUGGAUGGUACAGGAACAGAGCUUCCACUGCUAUGCAUAACACCAUUAGGAGGAUGUCCUCUUGCUGGAGAGCAUGACUGUCGUCUAACCCUUCCAUUUGAAGCUGGCUCAACAGAUGAAGACCUGACACUAGCUGCUCCAGGUCUGCCCCUUGUAGCUGAAAUUGGCCUGUCAGGUAGUGAUGUCCUUAAAUUGGGUGGAGCAUCAAGGGAGAACCCUGGUAUAUCUGAAGGCUUCCAUGGUCUGGGUUUUACAGUUGGAGAACUAGCACGUGAGGCUGCAGGGUUUCGUGAUGCCAUUGUAGCUGACCUGGUACCCAAAGGGGAAUACACAGAUUUAACUGGAGGAACAGUUGUAUUUGUUGUACUUGACACUGAAGUUGCUCGACGAGUUGGAGUUGCUGCCCUUGAUGUGGACUUUGAUCCAGUAACUGAGGCCCUGCUUGUUGGUGUUGAGGACCGUGCACUGGAUCUUGCAGUAGGUGUUGAAGAUCUUGGAGGAACAGUGGGUUUUGCAGAAGGCAUGGUGGCCCGAGAAGUAGGUGUUGCAGACCUUGAUGAUCUAGAUGCUGUCGUGGUUGACAUUAAUCUAGAGGUUGCAGAGGAUGCCAUUGCUUUGGUUGCUGCAGCAGAUGUGGAUCUAGAUGCUGAGGUCGAGGUGGAUCUAGAUGAGCUCAAUGUCGGUCUACCAGUAGGAGUUGAAGGUCUUGAUCCACCUGAAGAAGAUGGUCUUCGAAGACUAGAACUUGAAGUGUUUUAAUCCAGGAGAGGAAGCUAGCUGUCUAGAUGCUAAGUUGCUUCUUGAGGUGGCCUCUGGGAGAGAAUUUGUUAACUGCAUCAAAGUUAGCAAAUUACAGAUAAAAAUAUAUCAAAACUGUGAUACACACUUCAGGUUAAGAUUGCCAGGCAGAAAGCUUCACUAUUUGCACUUCACAUAUUUAUCUACUCACAGUAAUAGGCAAAGUUCUGCAUUGUCUUCAAGUAAAUUGGUGUCUAGACAUAUUUAACUAUGCUUUCUCUAAUCUUUCUUUAGUGUACUUGCAAACAACAACAUACCCAAUAUAGUCCCACGAGUGGGGUUUGGGAAGGGUGGGGUGUACGCAGACCUUACCCUUAAUUCUGACGGGUAGAGAGGUUCAAAAGACCCUCUGAUCAAGAAAAUCGAUUUUCAGAACAUGGUUUGAAAGAAAUGCAUGAGUAAAAAGCUAUUAUGAGAAUAUUGAAAAAAAGAAAAAUAUUUGACAAUAAAAAUAUUAGAGAUAACCAAAGUAAAAGAAACAACAAUAGAAAUAAAAUAGAAGAACAAGGUAAUGCUAGCAAAAUAAUACUCCCUUUGUCCCAAUUUAUGUGACAUACUUUACUUUUUAAUGUGUCCUCAAAAGAAUAUCACUUUUCUAUAAUUAGAAAUAACUUUAAAAUUUCCCUUUUACCCCUAACGAAUUGAUUUACCGUCACACAAAUAUCUAAGGUUUGUUUUAAACCACAAGUUUCAAAAGUCUUCCUGAUUUUCUUAAACUGUGUCAAAUUGGGACGGUGGGAUAAUACUGCCAGACUAGAACCCUGAUCUACCACGAGAAAGAGAGAAAAUGCUCAACUACCUACUAACCGUCUACCCUGAUCCUCGACCUCCAUGAUCUCCUGUUUAAAUUCAUGUCCUUAUUUAGUUGAAGAUGUUUCAUCUAUUGUAAUCACAUCUCCCCAAUUCUUCCUCGAUCUACCUCUACCUUCCUCAAACCUAUCAUUGUCAACCUCUCGCACCUCGUCACUAGGGCAUUUGUGUUCCUCCUCUUCGAAUGCUCGAACAAUCUUGGCCUUGUUUCCCGCAUCUUGUCCACCAUUGAAGCUACUCCCACCAGGCCUCAUAUAUCUUCGUUUCUAAUCUUGCCUCUUCUAAUGUGCCCACACAUCCAUUUAAGCAUCCUCAUUUAUGUUACCUUCAACUUCUGAGGAUGCGAGUUCUUGACUGACCAACACUCCGACCAAUACAACAUAGUUGGUUUAACAACCGCUCCAUGGGACUUACCUUUCUUAAUCUUUCUUUUACUUAGUUCAAUGUAAAUUAUGGGUUUCAAAUAAAAGCAAGCUACAAGUUGGUGUUUUUCGUCGUAUGAACUUUUAAAUUGUGAACUUUGUCUAUUAAUGUUUUUCCUCAUUGUUUCCUUCUAUUAUUGUCCAAGAACAAUCAAGUUAUAAAUGACUGCAUAAAACCAAAAAAGACGCCUAAUAUGCAUAAUUAUAGAAGAUUCUCUUCAAGAUUAAACAAUUCCAUCAAAUUGGAUAAUGAUUAAAUGUGUUAUAACAUUUAGUAAUACUAGGAACAUCAAUAAAUCUGAUUAUUAUAAUUACUCGGGAGAAUCUUUAAGAAAAAACCAACUCAAACUGAUCACAGACACCCCAUCAUAAGAGCAUGUGCUAGCUAAUGCAUCCUUACUAGGAUAAAGAAAUCAUAGCCCAAAAAUAUUCGUAGGAGUUUCAGUUUUCCAAAUGGUUGAUAUCUAGGAGAUUGGGUACUCAUAAUAUCCCACAAGAAGCAUCACAAAAGAAAUGUAUGGCACACUUUUUCUUUCUGAUAACUGUAUGCAUCUACAGUCAACCAUUAGGACCAACUGCAGCAUUCGAAGUUCGGGAAUAAUGGGCUCAGCCCUCUACUACUCUCCAAUUAAAUGUUAGGCUUAGUUCACAUGGUAUAGAGGUCGAACCUAGACCUAGGUCACAAGUUCCUCGGCCUUUGUCACCUGAACUAAGCAUGGGAGCAGUUGUACAUCAUACCUCUACAUUCAAAAACUAAAAUAACCCUCAAAUUCAGUAGAGGGCUUCUGCGAAUAGCAUUUGACUAAACAAUGGAGCCACCAUUGUGCACGCAGUCUGAACUAAAGAACCUGUCAGGGUCUUCCUGUUUAAUUAAAGAAAUAUUCUUUUAGGUUUCCUUGAAAUCUCCACAUCCCUCUGGUGGCUGGAUAUGGGAUGAAAUACUCUCAGAUUAUACAGAUGGUCAACAUUUCCCGUGUUAAACAUUACAAAAGUGAAAAUAUACUAAUUUCCAAUUACACAUAAUGCAUUUCAGCAAAGAAAGAAUGUAACAGUAGAAUAUACAUAUUCUUACUCUAGAUGUCAAUGCAGUGGGGUGAGCUCUAGAAGUUCCCAGCUGACUCAUCAUAGUUUUGCGUGAUUCCAUCUCUAGAGAAGGAAAAAGAGGAGUGCCUGGAGGUGUUAGAAGCUUGAAACAGGAAAAUAACAUCUCAUAAUAACGCAUACAGAACUGCAGAUAGGAUUUUAAAAGAAUAUCUGGGAAAUCUGAUUCAUGAAUCAACAAAAUAAUUCAACAUCAGAGGUGCAAAGAAGCCCUUUUUGUUCUGCUUUUCAAAUUUACAGAAAGGGGGUGCACCACCCUACUCCCUUUAUUUAUUUGAGUGCUAGAUUUUGAUAUAUGGCAGCCAUUAAUAUUUGUACUUAAAUUGCGCAGAAAACAAAUACAUCUACAAACUAUACGUGUUUUUCUCACUGUUCAUGAUGUUUGAAUAAAAACUUGCUUUUGACAUCCUUUUUUUUUUUGGUAAAGUAAUUAAAUGAUAUUAGAAAGCAUCAAGAAGAUGCAAAGUCACAAAGCACAAUGUGCAAGAAAGCUGCUCCAAACAGAAUUAUAGAGUUAAUAAUUUUGAUGGUCACUCAACUAUCAACUUUUUUCACAGAAAGUCACUCAACUUUCAUUUUUAACUCAAAAGUCACUCAACUAUGACUUCUUUGCAUAGAAAGUCACUCAGCCUAUUUUAUUAUUUUUUUUCACUAAAAUUUGCUGAUAUGGAAUUUUUAUUUUUAACCAAAAUUUUAAAAAUCAAAUACAUAACCAUUUAAUGACUCGCCCCAUUUAAUCCGACCCGCUAAAAAUAUAAUAUUGAACUUUUUAUUUUAUCAUUAAUUCCCCAAAUCAUUCUCUCUUGUCUCAUUUUUCUUUUCUUUUUUUUUACUUUUAAAAACUUUUUUAAACUCUAAAAACAAAUACAAGCCCUCAAAGUGGCCUGUUAAAUAUACAGACAGCUAAAGUUUUUAAAAAGUUAAAAAAAAAAAAAGAAAAAAAAAAAAAGAGAAGAAGAACGCUAGGAGAUAAAAGAGACAAUAGAAUGAUUUGGGGAACUAAUGAUAAAAUAAAAAGUUUAAUAUCAUAUUUUUAGCGGAUCGGGUUAAAUGAGGCAGGUCAUUAAAUGGAUAUGUAUUUGAUUUUUAAAAUUUUGGUUAAAAAUAAAAAUUCCAUAUCAGCAAAUUUUAGUGAAAAAAAAUAAUAAAAUAGGCUGAGUGACUUUCUAUGCAAAGAAGUCAUAGUUGAGUGACUUUUGAGUUAAAAAUGAAAGUUGAGUGACUUUCUGUGAAAAAAGUUGAUAGUUGAGUGACCAUCAAAGUUAUUAACUCUUACAUUUUAGUCCCUAGGAGGUAGUAUAAAUAGAGGUGCCCCUCAUUUGCAAAGCACCAUCCAAGCAAGCAAGUUGUAAAGCAUUCUUCCAAGCAAUACAAAGCCUUCUUCCAAAAUUCUCUAAGUCUUUCCUUUCAUUCUCUUAGCAAUCUUAGCAUAAAAGGCUUACUUGAGCUUACUAGAUCUUGAAAGACUAGUGAGUAAGUUGUCAAGUGCCGCACGGAGCUUUAGCAAGACUCUAAGUCCGUGACAAAGUGGUAUCAAAGCGAAGGUUUGAUACUAAGGGAAUGGCAACCGAAGGAGACGUGAAUGCCGCUAGUACCACCAACGUCCGUCCGGAUGGUGGAAAGAAGAACCGCAAGGGAAAGAAGCACCAAAAGAGUCAUGAAGAAAUGCUGUUGGAUCCCGCACCAAGCGAGGCGCUAACAUCUCAUCCACCCUCAACCACCGAAGCAAGUGACGAGGAAUGUGGCGAGGAGGCCAUUGACGUCACCACAGGAGAAGAGUGGGUCACAAGGGUUGAAGUGGCAAGGCAGGCCGUGGAGAUAUUAGGCCGGCGCAUGAACGUGGCCGAUGGCAAAUUCAAGAUUCUCAAAGACUUCACCCUUGAGGAGACCGAAAACAUCCGUAAGGAGUUGGAGGGACGUCAGCGAGCCGAGUUUGAGAUGAAGGAGGCUAUCACUUCCUUGGAGUGUCGGCUCAUGGAGGCGUUGAGCACGAUUGAGACCAUGAAGGCCGAGAUGAAAGCACUCAAGGAAGGUGUGGCAGCUGGAGGAUCAUCGUCGCUUGAUCGAGAUAGGGAGGCCAGGGUCGAGGCUCCCAAGCCACCUAUGUUCAAAGGCGUCCGUGACGCGCAAGAGGUGGAGAAUUUUCUCUGGCAUUUGGAGAAUUACUUCAAGUGCAACGGGCUGAAGAGCAAUGAGAGUAAGAUCAACACUGCUAUGUUGUAUCUUUCGGAGAUGGCCAUGCUAUGGUAGAGGCACAAAGAGGCCGAGAUAGGGAAGGGGACGUGCACCAUCAACACCUGGGAGCAUUCCGGGAGGAGUUCAAGAAAGCCUUCUUCCCUAACAACGUCAUCUAUGAGACGAAGCGCAAGUUUAGGGAGCUGAAGCAAACGGGCAGCAUCCGUGCAUAUGUGCAGGAGUUCACUACCCUCACGCUUCAAAUUCCUAACCUCACGGAUGAUGAUAUGUUGUUCCACUUCAUGGAUGGGAUGCAAAAUUGGGCCAGGACGGAGUUGGAACGUCGGCAAGUCAGGACCAUAGACGAAGCCAUCACGCAGACCGAAGCUUUGACAGACUUCAGGCAUGAGAAACCCGACAGAGCCAGAGGAGAAGAGAUGAGAGGUAGUCAUGACCAUGGUGGGGGAGAUCGUGGCGAAGCGAGGAGCAGCGGCCACAUCCCAAGAAGCAUGACACUUAUAAGUCCGAUGGCAAGAAGUCCGGACGUCAUGGCAACACGGAGAGGAAGAUAGAGGUUGCCAACAAAGGUGGUUGCUACAUAUGCGGCGAGCUGCAUGGUUAUGCAAGGUGCCCUGAACUGAAGAGCCUUGGUGCCAUCCUGCGAGAGCGGAAGGAGAAAGACGCCCAGGAGCAAGGACAAGGCGAAGGGACGACGCAGUUGGGCUUGAUAGGACUAUGCGGAGCCAUCACGAAGCAGCCAGAGAAGCCAAGAGGAUAUGGCGCGCAGUAUGUCGACGUUACGAUAAAUGGAAGACCCACGCGUGCUAUGGUCGACACGGGUGCAGAGGUCAAUAUAAUGACCAAGACGGCAGCGACAAGGUUGGGACUGAGUUACAAUCCAAGUAACGCCCAACUCAGGACGGUCAAUGCACCCCCGACUCCUGUGAGCGGAGUCGCACAUGGAGUGAGCAUCACGCUAGGCGAGUGGCAAGGUAAGACCAAUUUCACUGUCGCUCCUGUAGAUCUCUUCGAUGUAAUUCUUGGGCAGGAAUUCUUCCAGCAGUGCCACGCGGUGAUCGACCCUUACCUCCAACGACUUCUAGUCAUGGAGCAAGGAAGAUCAUGUAUGGUGCCCCUGGUUAAGGUACCGAAGACGGAAGGACAAGUACGUCUAACAGCCCUACAACUCAUAAGAGGCCCUAAGAAGAAGGAGUCGACGCAUAGAGCCACCAUUGCAAGUUCGAAAGAAGACAAUGGUGCAAAAGGGUCCCUGCCACCACGCACGAAGAAGGUUCCAGAAAGGAACAAUGCCGUGAUGCCAAAGAAGCCGCCGAGGCGCUUGCUUCCUAGGAAGGAGGAAGAUCAUAAGACCAGGCUGAAAGAGAUUAGGAAACAACUGAAGACGUUGCGCGAGGGCGUGGAUCGAGUGAGUAGACUAUUGGCCAUGCGUACAAGAAGACAAGACCCGGUUGGCGAUGGAAUAACUUAGAAGGCAAUGGAAGGUCUAGAUAUUUUCUUGGAAAGCUUUAGAAUUUCCUAUAAUUAGUAGAAGAUUCUAGGGAGGGACCAAAGUGUAAAUAGUUUAGGGACUUGUAAAGUAAAUAUUAAUUACAUUUUAGUCCCUAGGAGGUAGUAUAAAUAGAGGUGCCCCUCAUUUGCAAAGCACCAUCCAAGCAAGCAAGUUGUAAAGCAUUCUUCCAAGCAAUACAAAGCCUUCUUCCAAAAUUCUCUAAGUCUUUCCUUUCAUUCUCUUAGCGAUCUUUAGCAUAAAAGGCUUACUUGAGCUUACAAGAUCUUGAAAGACUAGUGAGUAAGUUGUCAAGUGCCGCACGGAGCUUUAGUAAGACUCUAAGUCCGUGACACUAGCUUAGCAAAAACUUGAGAAACAGUCAAUAGGGGGCCCUACUACUCUACUGUACUAGAGAUAGAGAACUAACAAAAUCCAAAAAGUUAUCCACUUUCAUUGGUCUGCUUGCACAUGACACAUCUGUUGAUGAGGAUUACACCUUUUUUCCGGAGAUUGUCUUGUGUUAGGCAUGCUUCUUUCAGGGCAGUCCAGGUGAAACAAGAUACUCUGAGAGGCUGCCUAGUUUUCCAUACAUGUUUCCAAGGACAUCCUUAUAUUUUAUCACUUAAAAUUUGCAUCCUUAACCCUCUUAGCUAUCCUCCCUUGUAACAUCAAGAAAUUGAAUUCAGCUAGCAUGUAUUAAGAACAGUGUUAUCAAAGGCGAAAAGCGCAAAAAAGCUCUAGGGUCUGUGGGGGCUUUAAGCGCAACGCGCAAAUAAAGCGUGGACUUUAAUUAAAAAAGGCGCAAAGGGAGAAAAGAAUAUAAACAUAUAUGUUUAGUCCAAGACUAAUAAUUAUUAACAUGAAUGACAAAUAUAUAUCCAAAGAAAUUGAAAAAAAAUUAUGAUAAAGUGAAAUAUCAAUUAUUUAGUAUCACUUCUUCAUGAGAGGCUCAUUGGCAAGGAAACGUUUGCCUUAGAACCUUGAUGACGACAAUGAAGCGCACAUAAAGCGAGGCGAAACGCUCAACAUGUUUUGAGCCUCGCUUCAGGGGUUAAGCACGCCUUUGAUAACACUAAUUAAGAAUACUACCUGGAGAAGUAUGACAUCAAAGUUUAAGAUGCACAUAUAAAUUGUAUUUGGAGUCUUGAGUGUCAUAUGUCAAACACCUAGCCUUUAACAUUUAAAGAGUUCAGUAGACUUGGAGACCUGUAUCGGUCUACUAGACACAAGUAGGGCACUAUCUCAUAAUUUUCUGCCGAUCCUCAUGGUGCAUAACAAGAAUUUUAAAAGGAUUUUAUUAAGUCUCUUAUGAUAAAUGAAACGUAUGACCUACCAAAUCUUCAAGUGCCUAUUAUUCGACAAAGUCCUCAAUUGAGAGGAGGAGGAACUUCCAGCUAGAUUUUUAGCAUGGUGUUUUAAGUUUCUUGGCACUAUGAAUUAAGUUAGAUGUUCAACGCUUAUAAUCUUUAACAAAGUUGAAUGACUUGAAUCUAUCGUUUGUUACAUUGGAACCAACAUAAUCAAUGAAAUGUCAUAUAUGAUGAGUAGUUCUAAAUGUUUAAUUAGUUAGUAUAUAAAUCCUAUAUAACAAAAUUAGAUUACAUAUUUCUUAUCAUGCUUGUUUGUGUCCUGUAGCUUUCAAACUUCUGUUUUCUGUCACUGGGAUGCCCAAAAGUCUGCUUAUCUCAGUAAACUUGUGUAGGUAAGAUAAUUCAAGCAAACUUGUGCAUCAAUAUUUGAGUUGAUUUCCCAGAUGGUCACUCAACUAAUAGUUAUUAUCUCCACCUUCUUGUGUGAAAACACAGAGAAAAAUGACAUUGCCAAAAAAUUAACAUGGUAAAUUUUCCAUUUAUUAUCAAAAGAAACAUCCCUCCAUGUCAAACACCUAGUCUUUAACAUUUAAAGAGUUCAGUAGACUAGGAGACCUGUAUCGGUCUACUAGACACAAGUAGGGCACUAUCUCAUAAUUUUCUGCCGAUCCUCAUGGUGCAUAACAAGAAUUUUAAAAGGAUUUUAUUAAGUCUCUUAUGAUAAAUGAAACGUAUGAUCUACCAAAUCUUCAAGCGCCUAUUAUUUGACCAAGUCCUCAAUUGAGAGGAGGAGGAACUUCCAGCUAAAUUUUUAGCAUGGUGUUUUAAGUUUCUUGGCACUAUGAAUUAAGUUAGAUGUUCAACGCUUAUAAUCUUUAACAAAGUUGAAUGACUUGAAUCUAUCGUUUGUUACAUUGGAACCAACAUAAUCAAUGAAAUGUCAUAUAUGAUGAGUAGUUCUAAAUGUUUAAUUAGUUAGUAUAUAAAUCCUAUAUAACAAAAUUAGAUUACAUAUUUCUUAUCAUGCUUGUUUGUGUCCUGUAGCUUUCAAAUUCUGUUUUCUGUCACUGGGAUGCCCAAAAGUCUGCUUAUCUCAGUAAACUUGUGUAGGUAAGAUAAUUCAAGCAAACUUGUGCAUCAAUAUUUGAGUUGAUUUCCCAGAUGGUCACUCAACUAAUAGUUAUUAUCUCCACCUUCUUGUGUGAAAACACAGAGAAAAAUGACAUUGCCAAAAAAUUAACAUGGUAAAUUUUCCAUUUAUUAUCAAAAGAAACAUCCCUUUUGAAGCCACGUCCAUGUAAAAUAAACCCUGGACUCCCCUUCCACCCAAGUGGUGUAUUCUCUCCUUAUGGAGUCUAAGAAAAGAGAUAUAUCCUUAAGCAGACGGAAUAUCAAUGUCCUUAAGAAUUCUAAAAAGAUCAAUACUCACUUUCUUGUUGGAGAAAAUUGGAAUAAAGAAGAAAGGGUUACCAUCUGAGAAUUCAACUCAUCAAUACUUCCCUAAAGAAUUUAUAAACUACAUGGUGAAAAAGAUUAAAUUGGAUAAAGAAACUUAUAAUGUCCAAAAUCAACAUAAGCAGCUAAAAGAAACAAUUAAACAACUCAGAAAAUCACAUACUUGGAAAGGAGAAGAAGAAACAAAUUACCAGUCGUAAUCAGUUUUAUCAUUGUCAGCACUAAGGAACUCAUCAGUACGAGUCUUCCGCAGGGGUGCAGCUGAUGCAAUAAUAAAUGCAGGUGAACUACCACUUUUUGAUCUUGCAAUAAGAUAUAUUGAAAUAAAAAAUACAUAUAUGAACUUUAGGUUAUGAAGCAGAAAUCACAAAUUCCUCACUAGUUGGACACAUUUAUAUGAUGUCCAUAAAGACUAAAAAUAUUUUUGGAACUUGAAGUGGAAAUGCACCUUCAAAAAACCAACUUCAACUUGAAAUUUAUUCUUUAUGCUGUCAAUUUGAACAAAGAAAGGUCAAUAAAUGGAAGGAAGACAAAAAAAAAACUUACCAAGGGGAUCAAAUUCGUUGGAUUUUUGAAGAAAUCGAUUAUUAUUUCUGUCAUUUUCCCUUCUUCGCAUUUCUAGAAACAAUGAUAGUUCCUCAUCUGAACUCCUAAUACUCCCCAUUAGAGGCUGUCUCUGCCUCUGCCCCGGGCCCAAUAAGAUGUUACUCCCUUUGUUUCAUUUUUUAUGAUCAACUCUUUUAAACACCUUAAAACAAGAAGAAAAGAAUUCUUAAAGAAAUCUAUAUAUAUAAAAAUAAAUUGGUAUUAAGAUUAUAUGAGAGUAUAUGGAUAUUUUAGCAUAAUAAUGAAAGUUGUCAAGUUUUUGAAACUUUUAAAAUGGUAACAUAUAAAAUUGAAAAAGAAGGGAGUAGCAAGUGCUUUAUUUUUAUAAAGUUAUAUAUGUGCUUACAAGAAGUCGACUAUAGCCUGUCUUUUUUCAUCAUUUCCUAAAAGGCCAACACGUACCUAGCCCUGCUUGGAGAGACGAUUCCUUUUAAGCUAUGCUUCACACAUUGACUCCUCCACUUGUCAUGGUUGAAAUCAAAGUGAUGUACAUAUAAAAAGUAUUUAAAGAAGUGAGAAUAUGUAUGUCCUAAAAGUUAAAUUAAUUAAAAGAAAAAAAUAAAACAAUAAAGUAAGAAAGGUUUUCAUAUAAAUAGACUAACGAGACAAGAUGGUAAAAUAGAUUAUGACAUAGUUAACAAAAACAUACAUUGGGUGAUUAUUCUAUCAAAGUUCAUUAAUUAUCUUAGGACUAUUUUUUGACACGACUUGAACGUGCUUUGUGAAAUGUGAAUCUUAUUUAAAGAUAGUGUAACUUUAGACUAAUCAAUUUCCCAUAUAUAAAAGUUAGUGAAUCAUUGUAAUUUGAAAUUGAUAUUCAUGCCUAAUACAAAAGAUUUUUACUUUAAACAGUUGGUCAGUUUUGAUAACAUUCAAAAAUAUAAAAGGCUUCAUCGAAAGUACUUAGCAUAAACACAUAAUUACAAAAACAAUAAUAUCAUCAAACAAAAAUAAAUGUAAUUUUCAAAAGUGAAAUUUGAAGAGGGAUAGAGAUAGAGUGUACACAUAUCAUAUCCGUAUUUCUUAGACAUAAAGAAAUUAUUUCCAAUAAACACCAAACUUAUAAUAAAGCAUAUUCCAACAAAUAGGAAAAAGAAAAUUUGGGUAAAUGAGAAUUGUAGCAACAACAAGAUAAGUUUCACACAUGAUUAAGAAUUAAAAUCAAUCUAGUAGUUUUGCUAGGACGCAAAAACCCCAAAUAAAAAGGCAUGUAUGAAUAAUUGAAUAGAGAGUUACACAUCAUUUAGAUAAUCCAAUAAGUUGCUAGAAAAAUUUAUAUGAUGACAGAAAAUAUACUCUGCUUACAAUAAGUUCUUUGCUACCAAAACUAACUAAACUAAGAUAGUAUAAAAGAAUAAUAAAAUAUGUAAAUACAAGUGAAACCAAAUUAAAAAUAUGAUUAUAACUAGAUUUUGUUAAAUACAAGUGAAACCUAAUUAAAAAUAUGAUUAUAACUAGAUUUUGUAAAAAUGCUUGAGCAUGAUAGUAAUUGAACUUUGAAAAUGAUUAUUUAUAAGUACUUAAUAAAGGUGAAUAAAUACAAAGACAGUAAUAAAAAACCUAUCAUUAACUACUUUAUUUAUGAAUUUCAUACUAAUAGAAAUAUCUAAGAUAGAACUUGGAACUUACUAUCCUCUUGCCUAGCAGACAAAGAUUUACUUCCAUGGAAAGGCUGAUUUAUGCGGAUCGACAUGAGAGUCCAACUAUAUUGCCAUAAUCCAUGUUGUAUAUUUGAAAGAGGUUGACCUCCUUACUUAUUUCAUGUUAUACUCCUCUUCCCGCCAAACCCCUUUUCUCCUCAGUACACUAAGACAAAAUGUAGGACUGGUGUCAAUAAUUCAUCACGGUCCGCAUGUAACAAAUGAUACAAUGAUAAUUACGCAAUAUAAUAACAACAAAAUAAAGCAUAGAACACAUAUUUUUAGCACAAAAGUAGACAAAGAUAGCUUAAAAAAUAUUUUGGCCUCACAAAUUAAAAGACGCUCGUAAAAAAAUGAAAAUGAAGGAUAAAAUUGGGUGUCAACAAUUAUUUUUUUAUUGAGAUAAAACUUCACAUAUUUUUGCCUGAAUUGUUGUUUUAUGAAAGCCAAAUAUAAAGUAAUUUUGCCCGUAAUUUUGGUAUGGCUUACUAAGGUCAACUAUAACACUUAACAAAUUUGAAUUAGAUUUGAGUCAUUAAAUUUCAUUGCUUUGACUGAGCUAUGCUAAAGCAAAUGUAAAUAUAUGUAAAAGCUAAUAUCUUAUCAUGCACAUGGUGUACAAAAAGGUUGAAAUCAAAGAGAAUUUAAAAUACGGAAAAGGGUCAAAAUUGCCCCUGAACUAUGCGAAAUAGACCACUUAUACCCUCCAUUACAUUUUGGGAUCAAAAUACCCCCGCCGUUAUCCUAGGAGACCACAAAUACCCUUAAGAGUUAACACCCCAAAUUUUUAGUGAUGUGGCAAGCCACAUGGGACUAAUCCCUCCACCUAAGCAUUGCCAACUAAGAUUCACUACAAAAGAACUUGACCUUUUGUCACGACCCAAUUUCUCAAGUAAUGAUGGCACCUACUAUAACCCACCNNNNNNNNNNNNNNNNNNNNNNNNNNNNNNNNNNNNNNNNNNNNNNNNNNNNNNNNNNNNNNNNNNNNNNNNNNNNNNNNNNNNNNNNNNNNNNNNNNNNUCUAAAUGUUUAAUUAGUUAGUAUAUAAAUCCUAUAUUACAAAAUCUUAUCAUGCUUGUUUGUGUCCUGUAGCUUUCAAAUUCUGUUUUCUGUCACUGGGAUGCCCAAAAGUCUGCUUAUCUCAGUAAACUUGUGUAGGUAAGAUAAUUCAAGCAAACUUGUGCAUCAAUAUUUGAGUUGAUUUCCCAGGUCACUCAACUAAUAGUUAUUAUUCCCACCUUCUUGUGUAAAAGCACAGAGAAAAAUGACAUUGCCAAAAAAUUAACAAGGUAAAUUUUCCAUUUAUUAUCAAAACAAACAUCCCCUUUGAAGCCGCGUCCAUGUAAAAUAAACCCUGGACUCCCCUUCCACCCAAGUGGUGUAUUCUCUCCUUAUGGAGUCUAAGAAAAGAGAUAUAUCCUUAAGCAAGACGGAAGAUCAAUGUCCUUAAGAAUUCUAAAAAGAUCAAUACUCACUUUCUUGUUAGAAGAAAAUUGGAAUAAAGAAGAAAUGGUUACCAUCUGAGAAAUCAACUCAUCAAUACUUCCCUAAGCAGCUAAAAGAAACAAUUAAACAACUCAGAGAAUCACAUACUUGGAAAGGAGAAGAAGAAACAAAUUACCAGUCGUAAUCCGUUUUAUCAUUGUCAGCAUUAAGGAACUCAUCAGUACGAGUCCUCCGCAUGGGUGCAGCUAAUGCAAUAUCAAAUACAGGUGAACUACCACUUUUUGAUCUUGCAAUAAGAUAUAAUUGAAAAAAAAAAUACAUAUAUAAACUUUAGGUUAUGAAGCAGAAAUCACAAAUUCCUCACUAGUUGGACACAUUUAUAUGAUGUCCAUAAAGACUCAAAAUAUUUUUGGAACUUGAAGUUGAAAUGCACGUUCAAAAAACCAACUUCAACUUGCAAUUUAUUCUUUAUGCUGUCGAUAUGGACAAAGAAAGGUCAAUAAAUGGAAGGAAAACAAAAAAAAAACUUACCAAGGGGAUCAAAUUCGUUGGAUUUUUGAAGAAAUCGAUUAUUAUUUCUGUCAUUUUCCCUUCUUCGCAUUUCUAGAAACAAUGAUAGUUCCUCAUCUGAACUCCUAAUACUCCCCAUUAGAGGCUGUCUCUGCCUCUGCCCCGGGCCCAAUAAGAUGUUACUCCCUUUGUUUCAUUUUUUAUGAUCAACUCUUUUAAACACCUUAAAACAAGAAGAAAAGAAUUCUUAAAGAAAUCUAUAUAUAUAAAUAAAUUGGUAUUAAGAUUAUAUGUGAGUAUAUGGAUAUUUUAGCAUAAUAAUGAAAGUUAUCAAGUUUUUGAAACUUUUAAAAUGAUAACAUAUAAAAUUGAGAAUAUGUAUGUCCUAAAAGUUUAAUUAAUUAAAAGAAAAAAUAAAAUAAUAAAGUAAGAAAGGUUUUCAUAUAAAUAGACUAACGAGACAAGAUGGUAAAAUAGAUUAUGACAUAGUUAACAAAAACAUACAUUGGGUGAUUAUUCUAUCAAAGUUCAUUAAUUAUCUUAGUACUAUUUUUUUGACACGACUUGAACGUGCUUUGUGAAAGGUGACUCUUAUUUAAAGAUAGUGUAACUUGAGACUAAUCAAUUUUCUCUACAUAAAAGUGAAUCAUUGUAAUUUGAAAUUGAUAUUCAUGUCUAAUACAAAAGUUUUUUACUUUAAACAGUUGGUCAGUUUUGAUAACAUUCAAAAAUAUAAAAGGCUUCAUCGAAAGUACUUAGCAUAAACACAUAAUUACAAAAACAAUAAUAUCAUCAAACAAAAAUAAAUGUAAUUUUCAAAAGUGAAAUUUGAUGAGGGAUAUAGAUAGAGUGUACACAUAUCAAUAUCAUAUCCGUAUUUCUUAAAGAUAAAGAAAUUAUUUCCAAUAAACACCAAACUAUAAUAAAGCAUAUUCCAACAAAUAGGAAAAAGAAAAUUUGGGUAAAUGAGAAUUGUAGCAACAACAAGAUAAAUGAGAACACAUGAUUAAGAAUUAAAAUCAAUCUAGUAGUCUUGAGCAUGAUAGAUUAUUUAUAAGUGCUUAAUAAAGGUGAAUAAAUACAAAGACAGAAAUAAAAAACCUAUCAUUAACUACUUUAUUUAUGAAUUUCAUACUAAUAGAAAUAUCUAAGAUAGAACUUGGAACUUACUAUCCUCUUGCCUAGCAGACAAAGAUUUACUUCCGUGGAAAGGCUGAUUUAUGCGGAUCGACAUGAGAGUCCAACUACAUUGCCAUAAUCCAUGUUGUAUAUUUGAAAGAGGUUGACCUCCUUACUUAUUUCAUGUUAUACUCCUCUUCCCGCCAAACCCCUUUUCUCCUCAGUACACUAAGACAAAAUGUAGGACUGGUGUCAAUAAUUCAUCACGGUCCGCAUGUAACAAAUGAUACAAUGAUAAUUACGCAAUAUAAUAACAACAAAAUAAAGCAUAGAACACAUAUUUUUAGCACAAAAGUAGACAAAGAUAGCUUUAAAAAUAUUUUGGCCUCGCAAAUAAAAGACGCUCGUAAAAAAAUGAAAAUGAAGGAUAAAAUUGGGUGUCAACAAUUAUUUUUUUAUUGGGAUAAAACUUCACAUAUUUUUGCCUGAAUUGUUGUUUUAUGAAAGCCAAAUAUAAAGUAAUUUUGGUAUGACUUACUAAGGUCAACUAUAACACUUAACAAAUUUGAAUUAAAUUUGAGUCAUUAAAUUUCAUUGCUUUGACUGAGCUAUGCUAAAGCAAAUGUAAAUAUAUGUAAAAGCUAAUAUCUUAUCAUGCACAUGGUGUACAAAAAGGUUGAAAUCAAAGAGAACUUAAAAUAUCAAAUUUUGAUCGUCGAGGUAUGAUGAAUAUAUGGACUGUAAAUGCGACACGCGGACAGUCUGCAUGUCCAAUAAUAUGAGGUUUAGAAGGUUAUAGAUUUUGAAGUGGAACUAAAGAAUUUUAAUAAAUUUUUGAGGCAUUUUAGGAAGAAAUUAAAAAUAUAUUGUUAUCAAAUUUUAAUUUAAAUCGAAUGUUGUUUAACAAAAGUGAUAUUAUAAUAAAACUCUCAUAUUUAGGCUUGUUACUCGUAAGACUUCAACAUGGGACGACAGACAAUCUUAAACACCCAGUGUGUUACAUCCUUUCCCUUGGGAUCAUUCAUCCUCGAAAUAUGACAACACAUUAAUCAUCUACUUUCUCAAACAAAGGUCUUGGGCAUUCAAACUCACAUAAUUCUACCUUUUUAGAAGGUCUAAUCAAUUAUUUAAAGACUAUUUUAUUAAAUCGGAGGUUUGCAUGAUCAUAUCAAUCUCAUUCAUAAAGCUUCAACCAUAUUAACUUCUCUUGAAUGGUUCAUAUGCUUAAAAAAUCAUUCUAAUGGGAUUUCUAGGUUCCUCAAUUCAUAAUUAAGGCUAGGUUUAUAAUUCUAUACUAGUAGACAGUUUAACGGACUAAAAUUGAAAAUUAUUCAUAAUUAACCUGUCCCACAUAUUGUGCCAUUAAAAUAAUAAUUCUAGGUUUCAAUGUGUAAAAUCCUAUGAAGAGCAUAUCUUUCAAUUCAGGGAGGACAUCGAAGUAUGGAAGGAAAAAAUGAAUGAACAAAAAACACUUACCUCAAGAGAGAAAAUCACCAAGUCUUAGAAAAAUCUCCUCUAGGAUUCUCUGGUAAAACAUUUUACGUUAUGACUAAGUCUUAAUGAAAACUAACUUAAAAACACGAGUUACUGUUUCCCGACCUUCACUAUAGCGAAACUUUGCUACCUUCUCUAUGUAGCAUUCCCUCGUUAUAGCAAUCUCGCUAUUUAAAGAAAGUGUUCACUAUAGUGAAGCACUAGUUGAAUUUCACACUCGAUUUUCCAUUUCAGAUUUCUACCAACUCUUAACCCACUGAGAUCUACACAAGGGUACUAUCGCCCUAAACAAUCAUAACGAUGGAACAAGUCGUUACAUAUUUGCUGAAUAAUCUUAAUUGUAGUCAAAUAGUUGUUAUCUACUGAAACUUUGUUGAGGGGGAGUUUUCUGUAUUGAGGAUAAUGAGUAUGUUGUUUUAUGCAAGUUGUCAUAUUUUGUCAAUACAACAAUAAAGUCAUGAGUGUCGGACAAAAUGUUAGCUAGUUUUGGACAUCAUUCUGUUUUCAUUAUUUUCAUUUGGACAAAACUUCAUACUUUUAUCUGAAUUGUGAUCUUACGAAAGGCAAACAUCAAUUGGUAUGGCUUACCAAGGUUAACUGUAACACUUCAAAAAUUUGGAUUAAAUUUGAGUCAUUAAAUUUCAUUGCUUUGACUCGAGCUAUGUUAAAGCAAAUGCGAAUAUGUAAAAGUUAAUUUCUUAUCGUGUACAAAAAGUGCAAAAAGGUUGAAAUUUUUUUAAAAAAAAUAUCAAAUUUAGAUCGUUGAGGUAUGACAUAUAUACAGACUGUACAUGUGAAACGGGAACGGUCUACAUGUCCAAUCAUAUAUGAGGUUUAGAAGUUAGAAAUUUUCAAAUGGAACUAAAGAAUUUUCAUAAAUUUUUAGGCAUUUUAGGAAGAAAUUAAACAUAUAUUGCUAUCAAAAUUUCAAUCUAAAUCAGCUAUUGAACAAAAGUGGUGUUAUAAUAAAACUCUCAUAUUUAGACUCAUUACUCGUAAGUUUUCAACAUGAGACGACAGACAAUAAUAAAACUCUCAUAUUUCGACUCAUUACGCGUAAGUUCUCAACAUGAGACGAUGGACAAUCUUAAACAUCCGGGAUUUACAUCCUUUCCCCCUUAGGAACAUUCAUUCUCGAAAUAUGACUACACAUUAAUCAUCUUCUUUCUAAAACGAAGGCCUUGAGUUUUCAAACUUACAUAAUUUUACCUUUUUAGAAGGUUUAAUCAAUUAUUUAAAGAUGAUUUUAUCAAAUAGGAAGUAUGCAUGAUCAUAACGAAGUUGUGAAGUUUCGCUAUAGAGAAGGUCGGAAAACAGUAACUCACGGUUUUAUGUUAGUUUUUGUCCGUACUUAGUCAUAAUGUAAAAUAUUUGACCAGAGAACCCCAGAGGAGAUUUUUCCAAGACUUGGGGGGAAGUUAAUGAGGUUGAAAUAGUGAUCUACUAUUACAAAGAAAGUGUCCGCUAUAGUGAAACACUAGCAGAUUUUCAUACUCGAUUUUCCAUUUCCAGAUUUCUACUGACUCUUGACCCACAAAGAUCUACACAAGGGUACUAUUGCCCUAAACAACUAUAAUGACGGAAUAGGUCAUUACACAUCUGCUGAAUAAUCUUAGUUGUAGCCAAAUAGUUGUUAUCUACUGGAACUUUGUUCGAGGGAGAGUUUUCCUUGUCAUAUUUUUGUUGAUAAAACAACAAAGCCAUGAUUGUCAGACAAAAAUGUUAGCUAGUUUUGGACAUCAUUCUGUUUACAUUUGGACAAAACUUCACACCAUACCAGACCAGUUUUACUGUUAUGAACUCUACCAAGUUUUGAUGUGAUGAUGGGGGUAAGGUGCUAAUUUUUUAAGCUUUUGUUGUUGCCAGAACUAUGUAGUAUGGUUCGGCAACUGCCUUGAUCGAAAUAUUGGGGCUUUACGGAGAAUUUCUUAUUUUCUGAACAGGUAGACCUAAAAGGUCUAUGAGAGUCAUUCAGGGAGGAUAUGGGAUGGUUAUGAAAAGGGCAAAGUAGACGGCAAAUCAAUUUAUAGUCUUGGUUUUAUUUAAAAAAUUCAUGUCCAGACUACUUGCUUGACUAAUACCUACAUAACUAAUACCCGCAUAAGUAAUACAUGCAUAACUAAACCCUACAUAAGUAAUACUUGCAUAACUAAUACCCACAUAACUCUAUCCAACUACCAAACAACUAUGGAAAGAUCGAAGCAAUGAUAGCAGAGUGGUUGCUACUAGUAAUGUCUUGUCAUUGCAAACAAAUACAGGAAGAUGGUCAUGUUAGUUUGCAACAACACACGGCUGCUUCCAUAUUAUCAUACACAAUAAAGGACAAGCUUAAAGAAGUUGUAGUAGCUUAAGCUAUUCAAGAAUCCAAUGGUCCAUAAAGAACUAAUGGGGUGGUGGGUUAAAGAAUGUACAUUUUGGGAUAGAAUUUUUGUUCUGGAUGAUGAUCAAACAUCAUCAGCAUCACUUCCUGCAACAUGAGUAUCAUGACUAGCCCAGUAAUGGCUUCCAUCAGGGCCACAAAUCUUAAACCUGUUGAGUAUAAAAGAAAGUACCUCAGUGAGGACUUAUGAUAUGUUCCUAACUCAAUUCUAAAGAAAACUGAAGUAAUCAACUGACCGCUCAAGCACUGAUUUUCCUUCUUUGUACUUUUGGCUCUUCUCAUGGGCGGUCUCCUGAAAAGAAUUGUUAUAUUAGGAACAAAUAAAACUUCUAGCUACUGCCAAAUGACAAUGUCUAGCAUUUUAUCACUCCAUACUCACAUAUUUCCAUCCAACAAUUGACCCACAACAGACGCAGACAAUGUCUGCCACAGUGUGCAUACCAGUCAUCAUCACUCUAUCUUCUAUCUCGCCAGAAGUGACAUUCACCCUGUCAAAAGAAUAAAAAAGGAGUAUAGAAUAUACAGAACUACAAAGUGCAUUAUCAUUUUGUAUGUUUCUUCUAAAUGAUAAAAUGAAAUGAAGAGAUUUGAGAAGAGCAGAACUCUUGAACAGGAAAGCAAUCAAGUUGAGCAUAAUAUAUGUAUUUCAGCCAUGUAACUAUUGUAAUGCUGCUACCAAGUGGAAAAUAACCCAAGUCAAGUAAGAAUUUAUUCUAUAUAUUGAUGUGUUAAUAUUUGUACUCCUGGAAAAUACACUCAAAAGUACACGAUAUAAUAGUCUGGUAAAAUCCCCACUAGGUUCUAUAGUGAUUCCAAUAGAUCAAAUUCUGGUGCUAAUUUUAUAGUCAAUGACACAAAUGUAUGAAGAUAUACAUAUAAAGUACCAUGUCUUUAACAAACUAAACCUACAGGGUAUAGCCUGCCUUGUACACAACUUUUCAUGUGCACUCAAAUAUUCUAGGUUGGUUAUGAGUUAUGACCUUCCAUAAUAAUAAUGACUCAGAGCUGAUAACAAAAUCAAAGAUCCUGAGAGCAAUGUCAAUGACACAAAUGUAUGAAGAUAUAAAUAUAAAGUACCAUGUCUUUAACAACUAAACCUACAGGGUAUAGCCUGCCUUGUACACAACUUUUCAUGUGCACUCAAAUAUUCUAGGUUGGUUGUGACCUUCCAUAAUAAUAAUGACUCGGAGCUAAUAACAAAAUCAAAGAUCCUAAGCUACGUGACCCACGUAGAGUAAAAGCCAAAUAAUUUGCACAUACUCCAGUUGCACUCAACUUUUGAAAAACAAAUCUUUUUUCAUUUCAAAUCAUCUUUUUUCACUUUCUAGUUUAACAGUGUCCUCCACACCAGUAAAAGAAGGGGUGGAAAUCAAAUAAGAGGAUUUAUAUGGUAGCUUUUUUCAUCUUUCUGUACCAGAGGUAUGGAUAAGCUUGACCUUAGUAAUAUCAUUGUUCAUCUAACCAAGCUACAAAUAACUCAUGUCCCAUCAAUGCCAAGAAAAGCUCAACAACAAUCAGAGGAAAUAAAUGGUAAUUCAUACUCUAACAAGAAUAAAACCAACAGAAGUUGUAAGUUGCACUAGUGAUUUUCAUGCUGCAAGUAUAAAGAUUGGACGUGUGCAAAUGUCAGAAACAUUUCUGAUGAUUGAGUGUGCAGAAUCAAAGAGACUUACACCUUACUGAAGAGAUAAGCCUUCCCAUGUCUGCAGUGGAAAGACUGAAGGAAAACAUAGAGUUAGAUAACUUCAUGACUUAGAAUGACUACAUACAUUAUUUAGGGGCUAUAACAAGAAUGUACCAUAAACUUCAAUAUAAUUAAUUGCAGAAUCAGCAUUUCACUCCAUUCAAAAGCAUUUGAAUUUUCUAAGAAACAGUAGUUUCAAACCUCCAACACUUGAAAAUGUGCUCUGAUUNNNNNNNNNNNNNNNNNNNNNNNNNNNNNNNNNNNNNNNNNNNNNNNNNNNNNNNNNNNNNNNNNNNNNNNNNNNNNNNNNNNNNNNNNNNNNNNNNNNNNNNNNNNNNNNNNNNNNNNNNNNNNNNNNNNNNNNNNNNNNNNNNNNNNNNNNNNNNNNNNNNNNNNNNNNNNNNNNNNNNNNNNNNNNNNNNNNNNNNNNNNNNNNNNNNNNNNNNNNNNNNNNNNNNNNNNNNNNNNNNNNNNNNNNNNNNNNNNNNNNNNNNNNNNNNNNNNNNNNNNNNNNNNNNNNNNNNNNNNNNNNNNNNNNNNNNNNNNNNNNNNNNNNNNNNNNNNNNNNNNNNNNNNNNNNNNNNNNNNNNNNNNNNNNNNNNNNNNNNNNNNNNNNNNNNNNNNNNNNNNNNNNNNNNNNNNNNNNNNNNNNNNNNNNNNNNNNNNNNNNNNNNNNNNNNNNNNNNNNNNNNNNNNNNNNNNNNNNNNNNNNNNNNNNNNNNNNNNNNNNNNNNNNNNNNNNNNNNNNNNNNNNNNNNNNNNNNNNNNNNNNNNNNNNNNNNNNNNNNNNNNNNNNNNNNNNNNNNNNNNNNNNNNNNNNNNNNNNNNNNNNNNNNNNNNNNNNNNNNNNNNNNNNNNNNNNNNNNNNNNNNNNNNNNNNNNNNNNNNNNNNNNNNNNNNNNNNNNNNNNNNNNNNNNNNNNNNNNNNNNNNNNNNNNNNNNNNNNNNNNNNNNNNNNNNNNNNNNNNNNNNNNNNNNNNNNNNNNNNNNNNNNNNNNNNNNNNNNNNNNNNNNNNNNNNNNNNNNNNNNNNNNNNNNNNNNNNNNNNNNNNNNNNNNNNNNNNNNNNNNNNNNNNNNNNNNNNNNNNNNNNNNNNNNNNNNNNNNNNNNNNNNNNNNNNNNNNNNNNNNNNNNNNNNNNNNNNNNNNNNNNNNNNNNNNNNNNNNNNNNNNNNNNNNNNNNNNNNNNNAAUGUGAAAUGAAUAAAAAUGUUACUCCAUUAUUUAUAAACAAAAUCACCUUUCCAGUCAAUACAUUGGUACAAAUAUCCUUAUCAUUGAUAAUUUGGUCCAAAAGUACCCUUGUAACACCCAGCUACUUGAAAGAACUAGAAUUAGAACGAAACCGUUUUUGAAAAUAAUUAAAUUUGGAAAUUUUGGGAAGUUAUGCAAAGUAUGAGUUUUGGGUCAACUUCAAACGACCAUAACUCCUAGCACACGAUGAGUUAGGUGGGCUACAAGAUACCAUAUGAAAGAUCUUUGAAUUAUCUUUCCAACGCCACCGAGUUUGCUCAUUUUCAAGUUUGUAUGAGGGAGAUAUACCCGUUUGAAGUCGGGCUGUCCGGAUAAGGAAAGUCAACCGAAUUUUAGAAGGGUAUUUUGGUAUUUUCAUUACCCAAUUAACUAAAUUCAUUUUUAGUAAUUUAGUUAGGGUCUAAACUGAUUUGGUUCAGUUUAGACAAUUACAAUUCAUGCAGGGUUUUUAGAAAAGAGGAGAAAAUAGGAGAAAGGUCAAGAUUCGUCGAUUUCUUGAGGAUUUGGUUGCGGAUUUCGCCAAGGGUUGAUCCCUAGAAAGGUAUGUGAGUUCAGAUAGCAUUGGGUUCAUUCACAACCGCGCCAAUCAUGUUAAUUUCAGUGUUAAAUUCGUUCUAGAAAGUUGAAGGUUAAUGUUCUUGAUUUGUGUUCUUGAAAUUGACUUUUGUUCUUGAGAUUAGGAUGAGAUUGAUGAGUUCCUGUGUACAUAUAUUAGGGUUGUGUUUGAUUAGAUUCUUGUGUACAUAUAUUGGGUAUCUGAAUCGAAAAAGAAAUUGAGAAAAAGAAUCGAAAUUAGUCGAGUUAAGAUUAGAAAAUGAGAAGAAAAACUCGUCGAGUUUAAUUACCUGGGGGAGAGCUGGCGCGACGCGCCACUGAUACGCCAGCAGGGCUAGCGUGGCGCGCCAGCAGUGCGCCAAAAAGCAGUCUCUGAACUUCAGGGGAUGGCGCCCCGCGCCAGCAGUGUGCUCGGGUCGUCUACCCCUACCCUUUUUUCGUCGUUUAGCCCGUCUGAGUCUUUCUAAAGUGUACUAACACUUCCUAUUGAUUCUAACUACUCUAAAUGACUUCUAAACAUCUAGAAAUCAUCCGUAAACACGAAUCAUAACCUUGAAUCCAUAAAAUCAAAUUCAAGGAAAGUUAAGAGCUAAGUCUUGAGAGUUCUUAGAGUCUUUUCAAAAGUCUUUUGCAAACGUUUAAACUUGUUUUAAAGACUUGAGCAUUGAGUUGAGUAACAGCAAGAGUGAAGUUCAUUUCUUCAAAAGACUAUAUGGGAACUAAGUAUUCCCAAGAGUUAAAAUAUUUUCACAUUUAGAUAAAAGAGGAAACACCGAUUUCCAAGAGAGGAAACAUUGAUUUCCAAGAGAGCUGUUAAGCUAGUUUUUGAGUAAUAAUCUCAAACGACAGAAAUAGUUAUGUUUUUAAACAUAUGAGCUAGUAUAUUUUGGGAGUAGUAUUGAGCACCGAUUUGGGGACAAAUUUGAGUUCAGACAAUUCAAAGUCUUCAUAAACUGUGUAGCCAACAUGGGUAGAAAAGGGUAAUACUUUUUAGAUGAUUCCUUAAUGCUUUUAGCAUAGACUAGUGGAUCCACUUAGUGAAUUAGGUUCUAUAACCCCGGCAAGGUAUAGGACGGCCCUAGCAGCGUGAGGCAAGACAUUGUACCAUCACUUAAGCUCAUAAAGAUGGUUGUCGGUUAAAGAAACUCCCACAGAGAUAUUUUUUAUUCUUAUAUACACAGAGUUACUUGUAUUUUCAUAUACAAAUUGAGUUAUUGUGUGUUUUUCAAUACACUGAGUUAUUAUCUUCAUGUUUUAAAGUUUUUAUUUAUACUGCAUCCUUAUUACUACUUUAUAUUGAAAUGAGUAGAGUUGAGUUGAGACAAGGUAAAUUCCUUCAGUUCCAGUUCAAGCUUAUGUUAUGUUUAUAUUUCCCCUCGCAUGCUCGUACAUUCAAUGUAUUGAUGCCAUUUGGCCUGCAUUGUUUUAUGAUGUAGAUAUAGGUAACCAGAAUCAACAUCCAUCGCCUUGUUGAUCCAGUUGAGCAUUCAGAGUCGUUUGGUGAGCCUCCUUGCUUUCCGGAGGAUCCCUAUUUACAUUGCUUUAGUAUUUUCAGUUGUUAAGAUGAUCGGGGGUCUUGUCCCGACAUCCCUCAUAGUUUUAGAGGCUUCAUAGAUAACUAGUUAGUGUAUUUGUCUUUACAUUUUCAUUCUGUUAUGUUGAGACUUGAGUUUGCCUUAUUGGCCAGUUGAAUGUUUCUUUUAUAACAUUCUAGUUUUAUUACAUGGAUUUAUCUUUGUUGAGUAAUGUCUUCCGCUGAGUAGUAAGCCAGGCCAGGGGUCGCUUGGGGCUAGCAAUGGCUCUCGAGUGCCAGUCCCGCCUAGUGUGUAGGCUUGGGGUGUGACAAACUUGGUAUUAGAGCACAGAGUUCAAGAGUCCUAGGGAGUCUAUAAAGUUGUGUCUGUAGAGUCCUAGUUAUCAGUGUGAAGCGUGUCACAUCUAUAAUUAGAAGGCUGCAACAUUUAGAAAUAUCUCACUUCUUUCAUACUCAUUUCGUGCGAUAGAGUUUAUCUCUAUAAAGUCUCUUUCUAACUCAUGCUUGCGCGUGUCUUUCAAAGCAUGCCUCCACGAAGAGCUGUCAGAGGUCGUCCUGCUAGGAGGAAUGUGGAGGAAUAAGGGGUACCUAAUGCACCUGAAGUGCAACCCCAAGGAGAGAUCACCAAUGAUGAGUUCCAUGAGGCCAUCCAGAUGUUGAGCCAAGUUAUGACCAACCAAGCUGGGCAACAAAGAGAGAAUCGUCAGGAAGGGGUUGACACUUCUAGGAUUCGUGAGUUUUUAAGGAUGAAUCCUCUAAGCUUCACUGGUUCAAGUGUCACUGAGGAUCCGAAGAACUUUGUAGAGGAACUGCAGAAAGUGUUUGAGGUUAUGCAUAUUGCCGAUGCUGAGCGAGUGGAACUAGUUGCAUAUCAACUGAAGAGUGUAGCUAUUCUGGUUUGACCAAUGGAAGAAGGGUAGAGCUGAGGAUGCACCAAUAGUGAGUUGGGUUGUGUUCGAGAGUGCCUUCAUGAGAUGUUUCUUUCCCCGUGAGCUAAGAUAGGCAAAGGUAAGAGAGUUCCUCACUCUUAAGCAGGAAUCUAUGAGUGUUCAUGAGUACAGUCUAAAGUUCACCCAACUUUCCCGCUAUGCUCCGGAGAUGGUUGCUGACAUGAGGAGAAGGAUGAUUUUAUUCGUUGCUGGGUUGUCUUGUCUGUAAGUAAGGAAGGCAAGGUAGCUAUGCUGAUAGGGGACAUGGACAUAACAAAGUUGAUGAUCCAUGUGCAAUAGGUUGAGGAAGAUAAACUGAGAGAUAGAGAAGAGUUUCGGAACAAGAAAGCUAAGACAUCAGGGAAUGAGUCCGGGCAGUAGAAGAGUAAUGCCAACCAGUCUUCUUUCCAACAUAAGCAAAAGGGACCUGCUCCAUCAUUUGCUAGUGCACCUGCACCAAGGAACAGAGGUGAGUUCAACAAUCAGAUUCAUAAAACUUCAUAUCUAGACCUGCACAGUCUCAAGGUAGUGUUGCACAAGGAGGCAGUGGGAUUCCUGCAUGUACUAGUGUGGUAGGACCCACUCAGGGGUGUGUCGUGAUGGCUCUACUGAUUGCUUUAAGUGUGGUCAGAACGGUCACUUUAUGAAGGAGUGCCUUAAGAACAGACAAGGUAAUGGUAAUGGGGGUAAUAAAGCCCAAUCUUCUUCAAUUUCUCCACUAGACAAAGUUGCACCUAAAGGAGCUACUUCAGGGGCAGGCGGAGGAUCAAACUACCUUUAUGCUAUCACUAGUUGUCAAGAGCAAGAGAAUUCUCUAGAUGUUGUCACUGGUAUGAUCAAAGUCUUUAGUUAUGACGUUUAUGCCUUGCUAGAUCCAGGAGCGAGUCUAUUUUUUGUGACUCCAUAUGUUGCAAUGAAUUUUGAUGUUCUUCCUGAGCAACUUCUUAAGCCUUUUAGUGUUUCUACACCUGUUGGUGAGUCUAUUCUAACUGAGAGAGUCUAUCGUGAUUGUACCAUUUACGGCAAUCACAAGAGCACCAUAGCUGACCUAGUUGAGUUAGACAUGGUAGAUUUUGAUGUCAUUCUAGGUAUGGACUGGCUUCAUGUUUGUUAUGCCUCAAUCGAUUGUAGAACUCGAGUAGUCAAGUUCCAGUUUCCUAAUAAGCCAGUUAUAGAGUGGAUGAGUAGUUUAGCAGUGCCUAAGGGUCGUUUUAUUUCGUACCUUAAGGCGAGAAAGUUAGUUUCCAAGGGUUUUGUCUAUCACUUAGUCCGAGUUAAUGAAUUUAGUGUUGAGACACCUCAUAUUCAGUCAGUUUCAGUUGUUAGUGAGUUUCCAGAAGUCUUUCUAAAUGAUCUUCCCGGAGUCCCUCCUAAGAGAGAAAUAGACUUCGGUAUAGAUAUUUUUUCCGAUACUCGUCAUAUCUCUAUUCCUCCAUAUAGAAUGGCACCAGCAGAGUUGAAAGAGUUAAAAGAGCAGUUGAAAGAUCUCCUACAAAAAAGAUUCUAUUCGACCAACUGUCUAACCUUGGGGCGCUUCGGUCUUAUUUGUGAGAAAGAAAGAUGGUUCUCUUAGAAUGUGUAUAGAUUACCGUCAGUUGAACAAGGUUACUAUCAAGAAUAAGUAUUCUCUUCUGAUAAUUGAUGAUCUUUUCGAUCAACUUUAGGGUGCCACUUGCUUUUCUAAGAUAGACCUCAGAUCUAGCUAUCAUCAGUUGAAAGUAAGAGAAAGUGAUAUCCCUAAGACAACAUUCAGGACCCGUUAUGGUCAUUAUGAGUUCCUAGUUAUGACCUUUGGUUUGACCAAUGCUCAUGCAUCAUUCAUGGACCUUAUAAACAUAGUAUUCCAGCCUUAUUUAGAUAUGUUUGUUAUCGUAUUCAUUGAUGACAUUCUAAUCUAUUCGAGGAAUAAGGAAGAUUAUGUUAGUCAUCUCAGAAUAGUCCUUCAAACUCUAAAGGAUAAGGAGUUAUAUGCUAAGUUUUCUAAGUGUGAAUUUUGGCUUGAGUCUGUGGCAUUCUUAGGCCAUGUUGUUUUCGGUGAUGGAAUUAGAGUUAAUACUCAGAAAAUAGAGGUAGUACAGAAUUGGCCUAGACCCACAUCUCCAAUUGAUAUUAGGAGUUUCUUGGGAUUGGCUGGCUAUAUAGAAGAUUCGUCGAGGGGUUUUCAUCUAUUUCAUCCCCAUUGACUAAGUUGACUCAGAAAAUAGAUAAGUUUCAAUGGUCUAAAGCUUGUGAGAAAAACUUUCAGGAAUUGAAAAAGCGGUUGACUACUGCCCCAGUAUUGACCUUACCAGAGGGUAAACAAGGUUUUGUCGUAUAUUGUGAUACGUCCUGAGUCAGUUUGGGUUGUGUGCUGAUGCAAAAUGGCAAGGUUAUAGCUUAUGCCUCAAGACAACUUAAGGUUUACGAGAAGAAUUACCAACCCAUGAUCUAGAGUUGGUUGCCGUAGUAUUUGCUUUAAAAAUAUGGUGUCAUUAUCUUUAUGGUGUUCAUGUAGAUGUGUUCAUCGAUCACAAGAGUCUUCAGUAUGUGUUUAGUCAGAAAAAGCUUAAUCUCAAACAGAGAAGGUGGUUAGAAUUACUCAAGGAUUAUGACAUGAGUAUUCGCUAUCACCUAGGUAAGACUAAUGUUGUUGUUGAUGCCUUGAGUAGAUUGUCUAUGGGUAGUACCACAUAUUUUGUGGAAGAUAAGAAAGAGUUAGGAAAAGAGGUGCAUAGACUUGCAUGAUUACGAGUUUGAUUAAGGGAUUCCGACGAAGGAAGAGUAGUGGUAAUGAAUGGGGCUGCAUCAUCAUUAGUGUUUGAAGUGAAAAAGAAACAAGACCAAGAUCCUAUUUUGCUUGAAUUGAAGGCAAAUGUUCAUAAGCAAAAAGUAAUGGCUUUUGAACAAGGGGAAUAUGGUGUAUUGAGGUACCAAUGUAAAUUGUGUGUGCCAAGGGUGGAUGAACUUCAAGAGAGGAUCAUGGAAGAAGAUCACAGCUCCAGAUAUUCUAUCCAUCCGGGUUCCACCAAGAUGUAUCGUGACUUGAAAGAAGUUUAUUGGUGGAGUAGUAUGAAGAAGGGCAUUGCAGAGUUCGUUGCUACGUGUUUGAAUUGCCAACAAGUUAAAGUAGAGCACUAGAAGUCCGGUGGUAUGGCUUCGAAAAUAGAUCUUCCAGAGUGGAAGUCAGAGAUGAUCAAUAAGGAUUUCAUCACAGGUUUACCAUGGUCUCGCAGACAACAUUAUUCCAUUUGGGUGAUUGUAGAUCGAAUGACUAAAUUAACCCACUUUUUGCCGGUAAAGACUACCCAUUCAGCAGAGCAUUAUGCUAAGUUAUAUAUUCAAGAGGUAGUUAGACUUCAUGGAGUUUCGGUAUCGAUUAUUUCAGAUAGAGGUGCACAAUUUACUGUAAUAUUUCAGAAGUCAUUCCAGAAAGGUUUGGGUUUGAAAGUGAACUUGAGUACUGUUUUUCAUCCUCAGACUGAUGGUCAAGCAGAGCACACCAUUCAGACUUUAGAAGAUAUGUUGAGAGCUUGCUUGAUUGAUUUCAAGGGUAAUUGGGAUGAUCACCUACCUCUCAUAGAGUUUGCUUAUAACAAUAGUUACCACUCUAACAUCCAAAUGGCUCCGUAUGAGGCUCUUUAUGGGAGAGGAUGCAGAUCCCCUAUUGGAUGGUUUGAAGUUGGUGAAACUAGGUUGAUAGGACCAGACUUAGUGCAUCAAGCUAUGGAGAAAGUGAAAGUUAUUCAAGAGAGAUUGAAAACAACGCAGAAUCAUCAAAAAUCCUAUACAGAUGUUAGGAGAAGAGACUUAGAGUUUGAAGUAGAUGAUUGGGUUUACUUGAAAGUUUCACCCAUGAAGGGUGUUAUGAGAUUUGGUAAGAAGGGGAAGCUUAGUCCCCGGUACAUUGAUCCUUACAAAAUAUCCAAGAGGAUUGACAAAGUAUAUUAUGAGUUAGAGCUACCCUAAGAGUUAGUAGCGGUUCAACCGGUAUUUCACAUUUCUAUGCUGAAGAAGUGUAUAGGCGAUCCUUCACUUAUAGUACCUACUGAAGAUAUUGGUAUUAAAGAUAUCUUAUCAUAUGAGGAGAUUUCGUGUAAAUUCUAGAUUGCCAUAUUCGCAAGUUGAUGACCAAGGAAGUAGCAAUAGUCAAGGUUCUAUGGAGAAAUCAGUUUGUUGAGGAAGCUACUUGGAAAGGUGAGGAGGACAUGAAGAAGAGAUACCCACAUCUCUUUGAGUCCGGAGAAAUUCCAAAUUAAGGUACUAAUCCUUUUCUUGGCAUUUGUUUUAAGUUGGCAUGUUGUAUUUAUAUUUUGACUUGUUGGGUGUUUGAGCUGAAUAUUAGAUGUUACACACUUUGCCUACUAAGAGUAAUCUCAUUCGAGGAUGAAUGUUCCCAAGGGGGGAGAUAUUGUAACACCCCACUACUUGAAAGAACUAGAAUUAGAAAGAAACCAUUUUUGGAAAUAAUUAAAUUUGGAAAUUUUGGGACGUUAUGCAAGGUAUGAGUUUUGGGUCAACUUCAAACGACCAUAACUCCUAGAACAAGAUGAGUUAGGUGUAGUACUAGAUAACAAAAGUCAACCACUGAGUUUACUCAUUUUUGAGUUCGUAUGAUGGAGAUAUGUCUGUUUGAAGUCAAGUUGUCUAGAUAACGAAGUCAACCAGAUUUUAGAAAGGUAGUUUGGUCUUUUCAUUACCCAAUUAACUAAAUUCGUUUUUAGUAAUUUAAUUAGGGGCCUAAACUGAUUUGGUUCAGUUUAGACAAUUACAAUUCACGCUAGGAUUUUUAGAAAGAGUUCAAGAAGAGAAAAGAGGAGAAAGGUCAAGAUUCGUCGAUUUCUCGAGGAUUUGGUUGCGGAUUUCGCCAAGGGUUGAUCUCUAAAGAGGUAUGUGAGGUCACAUAGAGUUGGGUUCAUUCACCCAUGCGCCAAUCAUGUUAAUUUCAGCGUUAAAUUCGUUUUAGAAAUUUUGAAGGUUAAUGUUCUUGAUUUGUGUUCUUGAAAUUGACUUUUGUUCUUGAGAUUGGGAUGAGAUUGAUGAGUUCUUGAAGAAAUCAUGUCAAUUUUAGGGUUGUGUUUGAUUAGAUUCUUGUGUACAUAUAUUUUGUAUCUGAAUCUAAAAAGAAAUUAAGAAAAAGAAUCGAAAUUAGUCGAGUUAAGAUCAUAAAACGAGAAGAAAAACUCGUCGGGUUUGCUUGGGGAAAGCUGGCGCAACGCACCACUGAUACCCCAACAGGGCUGGCGUGGCGUGCCAGUUGUGCGCCAAGAAGCAGUCUCUGAACUUCAGGGGAUGGCGUCCCAUGCCAGCAGUGCGCUCGGGUCAUCUGUUUUUACCCUUUUUUCGUCAUUUAGCCCCGUCUGAGUUCUUCUAAAGUGUACUAACACUUCCUAUUGAUUCUAACUACUCUAAAUGACUUCUAAACAUCUAGAAAUCAUCAAUAAACAUGAAUCAUAACCUUGAAUCCAUAAAUUCAAAUUCAAGGUAAGUUAAGAGCCAAGUCUAGAGAGUUCUUAGAGUCUUUUCAAAAGUCUUUCGCAAACGUUUAAACUUGUUUUAAAGACUUGAGCAUUGAGUUGAGUAAGAGCAAGAGUGAAGUUCAUUUCUUCAAAUGACUAUAUGGGAACUAAGCAUUUCCAAGAGUUAAAAUGUUUUCACAUUUAGACAAGAGAGGAAACACCGAUUUCCAAAAGAGGAAACAUCGAUUUCCAAGAGAGCUUUUAAGCUAGUGUUUGAGUAAUAAUCUCAAACCACAGAAAGAGUUAAUUUUUUUAAACAUAUGAGCUAGUAUAUUUUGGGAGUAGUAUUGAGCACUGAUUUGGGGAUAAAUUUGAGUUCAGACAAUUGAAAGUUUCCAUAAACUGUGUAGCCAACAUGGAUAGAAAAGGGUCAUAAUUUUUAGAUGAUUCCUUAAAGCUUUAAGCAUAGACUAGUGGAUCCACUUUGUAAGUUAGGUUCUAUACCCUAGCAAGGUAUAGGACAGCCCUGGCAGCGCGAGGCAAGACGUUGUACCAUCACUUAAGCUCAUAGAGAUGGUUGUCAGUUAGACAAACUCCCAUAGAGAUAUUUUGUAUUCUUAUAUACACAAAGUUACUUGUAUUUUCAUAUACAAACUGAGUUAUUGUGUGUUUUUAAAUACACUGAGUUAUUACCUUCAUCUUUUAAAGUUUUUCUUUAUACUGCAUCCUUAUUAGUUAUUACUACUUUAUAUUGAAAUGAGUAGAGUUGAGUUGAGACAAGGUAAGUUCCUUCAUUUCUAAUUCAAGCUUAUGUUCUGUUUAGAUUUCCCCUCGCAUGCUCGUACAUUCAAUGUACUGAUGCCAUUUGGCCUGCAUUAUUUUAUUAUGCAGAUACAGAUAACCAGGAUCAGCAUCCAGCGCUUCAUUGAUGCAGUUGAGCAUUCAGAGUCGUUUGGUGAGCCUCCUUGCUUUCCGGAGGAUCCCUAUUUACAUUUCUUUAGUAUUUCCAGGUUUUAGGAUGAUCGGGGAUCUUGUCCCGACAUCCCUCAUAGUUUUAGAGGCUUCAUAGACAGCUAGUUAGUUCAUUUGUCUUUACAUUUUCGUUCUGUUAUGUUGAGACUUGAGUUUGCCUUAUUAUCCAGUUGAAUGUUUCCUUUAUAACAUUCUAGUUUUAUUACAUGGAUUUAUCUUUGUAGAGUAAAGUCUUACGCUGAGUAGUAAGUCAGGCCAAGGGUUCACUUUGGGCCAAUAAUGGUUCUCGAAUGCCAGUCCCUUCCAGGGUGUAGGCUUGGGGCGUGACAACCCUAUAGUUACUAAAUGGGUCAAAAAUAUCAUUUUUCGAAUAAAUAUAUUAUUUCUCUUCUUUUUAAACACAUUUUGUUCCUAAUAAAUGUUAUGUUAAAGAACUUUAUUCUUGUUUUCUUUCUUUUACAAUCACUUUAAGUAAUAAAAAUGUAGAAAAUAUUUUUUUCUUCUUAAUCUCAUUUUAUCAAUUAAAAUAAAAUAACUCCAUGUACUCUUUUAACGGAUAAUAUAUGUCAUAAUUAUAAGAUCAUAGUAAAUACACGAUGAAUUUUUAUAUAAGGAUAAAAAAUUAUAAUAUGAUGGGAUUUUUAUUUUAUUUUUUCCCGAAUUGAAGCAGGAUAAAUAUUUGCUAAUUAAAAAAUAUUAUUAGAAAAAGAAUGUUUUAAAAAGAAAAUAAAUAAUAUAAUUAUUUGAAAAGGGUUUUUGACCUAUUAAAUAACAAUAAAGACAUUUUUGGACCAAAGUAAUAACUGCAAAAAUAUCUUUAGACCAAACCAUAAAUAGAAGACAUUUUUGUUCAUUUCACAUAGUUUAAGGAAAUUUUUAACCCUUUUUCAUUUAGAAGAUAUAUGUUUAGAGUAAAUUUUAGGUUUAGCAAACAUAAAAAAUCAUAAUUAGCGCUCUAUAACUACAAUUUUGUUAUUUUGCGCUUCCAUAGCAGUUUGCUAUGGAGCAUCAGAUUUGUAUAAAUCGCAGGCGAGCAUCUCGUUUGUAUGAAAGCGCAACAAUUGUAUAUCUAUAUUGAUUAUAUAUAUAUAUAUAUAUAUAUAUAUAUAUNNNNNNNNNNNNNNNNNNNNNNNNNNNNNNNNNNNNNNNNNNNNNNNNNNNNNNNNNNNNNNNNNNNNNNNNNNNNNNNNNNNNNNNNNNNNNNNNNNNNAGAAAGAGAGAAAGGCAAAAGAGAACUGGUAGGGAAAAAUCUGUGUUUGUAUAAUUAUAAGUGUAUAGAACAAAAAUAUAUGUAUUUGUAUAUACAAUUUUCUCUCGCUUAGUACUUCCUUAGUAGUAUUUGGUUCCCUGAAGAUCUUCUUGCUGCUGCGAGCAACAAAUGACAUGUGUUGUUCUUUUGCCUUGUGUCUGGUGAUUAUAAGACUCCCUUGUGGUGCAAGAUGUACAUCAACUGAAGUAGUUGAUUAUAGUGUAGUAUAUUCAUGUUGAUGAUGACUAAGCAUAUUCCACUUGGAGAAGUCAACUUUUAAAUGUAUUCUUUGUGAAUUAGACAUAGAGAAAGUGGGAUUUGAUAAAUCACCAUUGACUGGACCUGCAUGUGCAACCUAUUCCUUACUGCCACUAGCAGAACCUAAAUCUGCAAUUGGAGCCUUAUCAAUUUGGGUUUCAUUACCUCUGUGUGGAUCAUCACUUUGACAUAUUCUUCAUGAUCACCAUAUGAUCCUUCAACUGAGGGGUCAAUGACACUUUCAUCAUCAAGGAGUAGCAUUUCCACCAAUAACUUGUGUACUAUCAGUCUGUACUUCCCCUAAAUUAUGAUUAUCAUGUGCUUACAAUUUAAAUAAAGAUUCAACAAAAGUAACAAGGUGAGGUGAGAUAUCAACGUUAGUCUGAGAUUGAUUUGGAGACACAUAGGGUAAUGUGUUUUUAUCAAACACAUGUCUGUAUACAUACAACCUCCUUGUAGGGGGAUGAUAGCAUUUAUAUCAUUUGAGUAAUUUGUUGUACCCUAUGAAUACACAAAGGUAAGUCUUCAGACUGAAUUUGUUGCUACCCUUGAUAUAUGAAAAACAUCUAUACCCAAACACCUUUAGGCUAUUGUAAUCAGGUUGCUCUCCAUACAACGUAGAAAAUGGAGUCAUCAUUUUUAAGAAUGAUCAGGAGGGCAGUCUAUUAAUGAGGAACACUGCAGUGAGGGAAGUCUAACCCAUAUAAACAAAGGUAGGUUAGCAUGAGGUAGUAGAGUUAAGACAGUCUCCACAAUAUGCCUAUGUUUUCUUUCUGACAAUCUUCCAAAUACUUGAUGAAGUCUGUCUUGAUAAUCUCACCACCUCCAUCACACUGAAAUAUCUUAGUUUCUUUAGAAAAUUAUUUUUCCACCAUUUUCUGAAAUUUUACAAAGACUUCAAAAUAUUCAGGUAUCAUUUUCGAUGGAUAAAUCUAUGUAUAUCUUAUGUGAUCAUCUAUAGAAACAACAAAAUAUUUCAUAUGUUGAGAAGAUUCAACGAGAGCAGGUCCCAUGAGUCAUAAUGAGUUUUCGAUAAAGGUUCCUUCUCUAAUUUUAUUUCUCAAACCAAAUGAAAGUUUACAACUCUUUCCCAACUGGCAACUAGAACAAACAAUAUACAUUUUAUUCCAACUACUAACAUUGAUGUAGUUAUUAUUACUCAAAACUUUUAAAGAUUUCAAACUAGCUUGUCCUAAUAUAAUAUACCACAUGUUGUUUGAUGCGUUCCAAUCGUGUCCAGCAGUUUAUCAUAGAGACUGUUAUCUUGCAAAGCAUAUAAUCCAUUCCUUUUAAAUCCCUUGACCAGUAGUGACCUUGUCUUCUUGUCAUUUACAACAAAGUUAGUUUUAUUAAUUCAAGAGUGCAACAAUUAUCCUUUCCAAGUUUACUAAUUGAGAAUAGAUUUUUAUCAAUUUAGGAACUACAAAAACUUCUCUUAACUUUAGGCCUGAUCCUGAUAUGUUCUCAACAUGUGUUAUGUCUAACUUUUAUCCAUUCCCAAUAAUGAUUUUAUCUGGUCCAUUGUAGUGUUUAAGACCAGUUAGAAUACUUGAGUUAUAUGUCAUAUGACUACUUUCUUCUGAGUCCACAUACAAGGUGUUAUUGGUAGAGUUUUGUAGAUUAGUAGCAGUUAAUGCUUGUGGUAGCUCAUCAGUAGCUUGGUAAGAGUAGUCUAACUUUGAUUCAUUCCCAAUAUCGUUCCUCUCUUGACUUCCACUUGAAGGACUGUUCUGAGAACUUGGUCCAUAUUUGCCGUUAUAAUAACUUGUUCCUUGUCCAGCAGGCUCAAAGCCUCUUCCUCUGAAAUUGAAGUUAUUAAUUCCUCUUCUUUUAGAGUAGUUUUCUCUUCACCUGCCCCUUUGGGCAGAGAAUGCCACAUUAUGGUUUUGUUGCGACACUUCAUUUUCAUCCUCCCUCAUAUCAAAAUCCCUGAGAGCAUUAACAAAUUGAUUAAGAGUGAGAUAUGGUGUCUUACCUAGCAUGAAAGUCCUGAAGGUCUUGUACUUGAGACCUAAACUUCUAGUAAAAUUAAUUACAUUUUUUUUAUCUUCAUACAUAGGCUUGUGAAUGGCUGCAAGGCCAUCACAUAUGCCUUUGAAUUCUUUAAUAUAUUAAUCAAUAUUUUUGGUUCCUAACCUAACACUUUGCAGUUGUUGUUUGAGCUGGAACUCCUUAUCUUUCGUUGUUUGAAGAUAAGCUUCUUACGAGCAUUCUCACAUCUCCUUGUCAGUUGAGCAACCUACAAUCAGGUACAUGCUUUCUUUUGUUAAGGUACUUGAGAUCCAACUUCUUAGCAACACAUCUUUCUCUUCCCAGUCAUCAAUAUUGUUGUUGUCUUCCUUCUCUUCCCGGUUAUCAAUAUUGUUGUUGUCUUCUGCAUCCUUCUCAACUGCUACAACUUUUUCAACAGUCUGUCCAAUGUAACAUGUACUUUUAGUUGGUUCAUUCUUUGUGAUGAGAUAGGUUAAUUUCAUCACUUGAAUCAACUGAGACAAUAGUGUUCUCCAUAUAAGAUAAUUUGUUGGCUUGAGUUUAAUGGAACAAGACACAAUAAGAUGGUGAAGUGAGGAGGUUGAUAAGGUGUUGGUAAAAGAGGCCAUUGCAAUUCGAUAUUGUGGUUAUUCUACUUUUUGGAUCUAACAUGUUAAAGAGCGGAAAAACUUUAAUGCUCUGAUACCAUGCAGAAUUCUCACGUAAAGUAUAGAGAAAUCAAGGAUUGUAUUAAUAAUUAAAAUUGUUGAGUACAUGCUCCUAAUAUAGGAGAAAAGUCCUACAUUAGCUACACUAGGAGUCCUACUACAAUACAAAUAUAUUAUUUACAUGAAUAGUAUUACUACUAUAACUAAAACACAUUAUCCUAGUCGACUUUAGCCUCAUACACGAUACAUCAGCUUAGUUAUACAUAAGUUAGGAUUUAGUAGUCUAGUCCUAGUGUGACUCUAACUCUACAGCAGUAAACACAUUAGUCUGCUUCCUUGGAGCUGUUCCUUUAACGUGUUUCAAUCAUUAGCUUCCUUCAUCUUCAACAUAUUACACCAACAUUCCCUAUAAUUGUUUGAUUCUAUGAGAUAUACUCUGAGACAAUUAAAAUUAUUUCUUGCCUUCUCAUUUUUUAUUAUGCAGUUUCUCUACCAUUUUGAUUAAAUAAAGGAUUAUUAUGAUAUAAACAACUUACAAUUCUCUGAAGCAUCAAGCAUGCAUUGAACGGCUAAAGUGAAAAUGUAAAGUAUUUCGAGAAGAAACCUUUUAUUUUGUGACGAUAUCAGGUGUGUAAGACUUUCUUUUUUGUAUAGACAUAAUAAAGUUCUUGAUGUGGAAUGUUAUUUCAACAUAUGGUGUGAAAAUUUACUCUAAAAUAUUCAAAUAUGUCAGAGAAAUUGGUCAAUUAUGAAGUCAGCUUAGUGCGCUUUGAUCUUCUUAUUCUUUUUUUUGGUAAGGACAAAUAUUUAGAUAAAUACGAAAUUAAGUGUAUAGUACAGUACUGUUUUGGGCAUUCCUCAAGAUUGGAUGUUGGGCCAUAGUGUGGCCAAUAGUAUCAAUAUUACAAACAAACAUGCUCCUCACAAAAAAAGUUGUUUGUGUGAUCUCUAUUACUUUCAAAAAUUCAUAAUAAAACUACUAGAUAUUGUUGUUUAUGAAGAAUAUAAUUUGGAUGUGCAAAAUUUGAACUUCAUUUCCUGCUACAAACCUAAUUGACCUCAACUUCAAAACAUUACUUGUUGACAUUUUGAAUACCAAAAUUUCAGAAAUCUGGUCCUGUUCAUUCCAUUCUAACUACUCUAUUAUCUGUUCUGUUUAAUAUCUAAAUGAUUGUAGCAUAACAUGAGCAAAUAAAUAACAAGUAGCACUAAUGGUCUAGUGGUAGAAUAGUACCCUACCGCGAUACACACUCGGGUUCGAUUCACGGCUGGUGCAUUCUUGGGUUAGCUGUGAAGGUAAAAUCUGUGCUCAAUGCGGUGAUUUGGGUCUCCGCACUCAUCCGACUAAACAUGGUGAUAGUUUGCACAUCUAAGCUUCCCUUUUUAGAUUGUAGUUUGUCGGGACUCAACUUUGUUAUCCUCCCUUUUUAGAUUGUAGUUUGUCGGGGCUCAACUUUGUUUUCCUUGUUUUGUCAUGUUUAGUAUUAUAUGGGGAAUGUUUUAUUACAUGUUUGCAUAUAACCACACAUUUAGAAAUAUGCAAUCUUCAUGAAUUAGAACAACGAAGGUGGUAUUGGAUGCCAGAGUAUAUAUCAUAUUUCAAAGGUCUCAAGAACCUUAAGUGGAAGGCGUUGAACUGAUCUUACAUCUCAAAAGCUUCAGAUACGAUGUUUAGACAAGUAGGUGGAAGCUUGAGAUCAGUUGUGUAAUUCAGGCUAUUCAGUGAUCUACUAGUCUAGCAGCUAUAGAUAUCUCAAGAUAAUAAAUAUGACAUCUAAACUAAGAAAUGUGCAAAGAGCUAUCUUUAUAAGGAAUGUACAACUUUAUAACUACAAAUUAAAAGAGCAAAAUCAAACCUUAAACUCAUGAAUUUGUUUCACAGUGCAUAUUAACCUCAUGUCACCAACCAUGAGAAGGACUAACCCUAUGCCUGUCAUCAUCUCUCAAUGCAGGUUGAAGCUUAUAACCUUUUCUUUUGGGUAUGCUUGCUCCAAGAACAACUUCCUUAAUGAAUUGAGUUCUCCAACGACAUCACUGAUCCGCUUUCUUUCUUUUGGAGAUUCAACGGAGCAGGAAACUCCGAUUUGAAUCACCUUAACUAAGAAUGACAGAAAUAUGUUGCCAGCACUGCUUGUAUUGUCAUCAACUUUGUAUUUCAUUCCAAGUUCAUCUCUUUCCUGGAGAAGAAUGGGAUCUGCAAUAUGCAUCAGUUCCUGGAGAAGAAUGCGAUCUGUAAUAUGCAUCACUCUGUCUGGCAAAGCAGCAUUGGCAUAGUUAUGAAGGUUUAAAUUAUCUUUGAACAUUUCAUCAGUUGGUUUCCUCCCGGUAAACAUUUCCAAGAGCAGUAUGCCAAAGCUGUAUACGUCUCCAUAGAUUGAGGCGUCGCUUCCCAUACCUAAUUCUGUCAACAAGAAAUACUACAGAAUUAGAGAUCAGAAUUAGAGAUAUGACAGCAGAAACCUUGAUUUAUUACCUGGAGGUGUAUAACCAAUAGUUACCCCUACACCUGUAGAACUUUUUGAAUUUGCUGAUGAGUUCGGAAUUGCUGGUGGAACAAAUCUUGCCAAACCAAAAUCACCAACAUGUGCAGUCAUGUUCUCAUCGAGAAGAAUAUUGCUUGGCUUCAGAUCACGGUGAAUUAUUGGGGGUUGGCAUUCAUUAUGGAGAUAAUCUAGAGCACAAGCAACAUCAAUGGCAAUGUUUAAUCAUUGAAUAAACCCGAGCUUCUUGUGCUCCUCCUGUGACUCAGAGUUCUCCUGAGGAGUGAAAUGUAACCAGUCUUGUAGACUCCCCUUAUCCAUGUAUUCAUAAACUAUGGAUUUGAACUCAUUACCUUCAUAAUCAAUACCUGAGCAUGCACUUAGAACGUUUACAAGAUUACGAUGUCUAAUGUUCUUUAAAACCUUCACAUUCAGCUAAAACACUCCUGGAAGCUGCAUGGUGUGAAAGGUCCAGUACCUUAGCAGCAAAAACCGUACCAUCGUGUUCAGAAAUUCCUUUAUAUACAGACCCAAAAGCAAAUUUGAUGCAGAAAAUCUAUCAGUUUCCCUAAGUAGACACUGAUAAGAUACUCUUAAGGUUUGAGUUUUCAGGUAUAUCUGUAGGUGUUGGUUUUCUCGAUCUACUAAACUGUCGUAUGCCAAGAACAAACUAUGAAUGUGAAUCCUAUAAGCCCACUAACUACAGGAAUUACUAUUUUCAAGGGAAAACCUGAUUUCCUUUCUUUGUUUACCUCUACAACGCAAGCCGGAAGGUCCAACUCUGGUACACCCCCACAGAGAUAUCUAUUUCCGAUGAUGGAAACCACAGUAGCAUUACUAAAGAUGCCUCCUGUUGGGACAGCACCUUCCAAAGUAUUACUAGACAGAUAUAAAAUCUGCAGAAAUUUAAAGUCCUUCAAGAAUCCCGGGAUUCCACCUGACAGAUUGUUGUGAGAAAGGACUAAAAGUCCUAGGUCUCGCAAACUAUUCAUGGUUGAAGGAAUACUACCCUGAAAGUUGUUGUUGUUUAAGUCUAGUGCUUCAAGUUUCACACAAAUACCUAUACUGGUAGGAAUCUGGCCCUGCAACUUGUUAUCAGACAGGUUUAAGUAGCCUAGAUUUCUCAACUUCCCAAUUUCCAUUGGAAGGAAACCAGUUAAUUGGUUCUGAGAUAGGUCCACGCCCUCCGACAAAGAUGAGAGUUCAAGAAUUUCUGAUGGUAUGAAACCACUAAGGUUAUUUGAACCAAGAUCCAACAGUUCCAAAUUGUGGCAUUUGCCUAAACUGGAAGGAAUUCUCCCCUGGAGAUUGUUUUCUCUUAAACUGAGUUUGGUUAAAGAAGCUAAAUUUCCCAAUGAGAUUGGAAUUUGGCCAGAGAACUGAUUUCCAAGUAAAGCCAGCUCUUGCAAAUAUUUCAGAUCACUAAUUUCAGACGGAAUUUCACCGUGAAAUUUGUUGUAAGCUACAAAGAAAGACUGAAGCUUCUUGAGAUUGGAUAUCUCUCUUAGGAUUUCUCCAGAAAUCUGAUUAUAAGACAACGAAAGCUCUAUAAGCUCAGUCGAAAGAUUACUAAUAGAUGCAGGUAAGACUCCACCAAAAUUAUUUGUAUUGAGCUCCAAAAGCUCCAAGCUGGUGGCAUUCACCAAUGUGGUGAGAAAGCUAAGGUCAUCAUCAUCCCCCUUCCCAAGAUAAUUGAAAGCAACUAAAAAUUUCCGCAUUUUCAGCAAAUUUCCAAGGGGUGGUACUUUUCCUGUGAGUCCAUUUCUACCAGCAAUAAGAGAAUGAAGAUUCGUAGCAUUUGACAAUGUUACCGGAAUAUUUCCAGUUACAUUGUUUCUAUAAAUGCUAAGGAACUCUAAAUUAGGAAAAGUAAUACCAAGCAAUGAAGGCAAUUUUCCUUCUAAAUGGUUUGUUCCAACAUCUAAGGCCACGAUAGAUGAACGAUUGAAAAGACAAGGAGGCAGGGUACCACUCAAGUUGUUCUCAUUCACUACAAAGUACUUUAAGUUGACCAAUUGGCAUAAUUCAUCAGGUAUUUUCCCUAACAAAUUAUUCUUGCUUGCGGAAAAGGUAUCAAGUAAAGAAAGAUUACCAAAUGAAGGUGGAAUUCCUCCUGUAAAAUAGUUAGAAAGAAGGUAUGUUUGAACUCUUUUGCUAGUUGGAGAGCAUAUUUGAUCCAAAAACCUAACAACGAAAGCAUUUUUGACCAAAAAAAGUAAUGGAGAGUAAAAGUGACUCGUUUUGAAUAGUCCUAAAGGUAUAUUACAGUGCAAUUAUAUUGGAGUAUCAUUGCAAUUUAAAAAUUCGCAAGUGAGAGAUUUCUCUUAUCACUCCAUUCUUCUUAUGUCGUUUUGUCUUUGUAGGGCUAAUUAUUAGGCCAGUACAAUCAACUACUUGAGCAAAUGAUAAAUCAAAUGGUCGACAAGUCUUCAAUGUGAACUCUUUGACCAUUUUCCCUUCUAGAACAACUUCGGAAUUUCAAGAUGCUUUAAAUUAAAUGUUUUCUUAUUUUUUCUCAUAUAUUUAUUAAAUAAUAUAUGAGAAAAAUCAUCAACAAUAAAGAGCAUAAAAUGAUUGAAUUUUCCUUAACAUGAGUGGUUGUGUUGUUCUAUUGGAACUACACUAGUUGAUAAUUCAUUAAAGCACUAUUUGAUUUGCUAAUGGUAUGAUUCAUCUCUAAUGUAUUUGAGCUUUAGACAUCACGGUUGAAAUCUACUAUCUUUGCUCAGCAUCCAUGUCAAAACAAGUUCACUGCAUCUGGUAAUUCCAUUGCAUCUCACUACCUAACAUGACCAAAAGGAACAACAGAUAGACAUUUUGACAUAUGAAUUAUCUGUUAGAAAAGUAAAUUAAAUGUUCUAAGAAAGCAAAAUGUCAUAUAUGUCACAUUUCACAUCACAAGAUGUUUAGACAUACUAAUCUCAUAUAUGUCACAUUUCUCCUGAACAAAAACGAGGCAUUGGCAUUAACAGGACUAAUAAUAUAAUGAUUCAAAAUACAGCUAGACAGUGCAUCAAUCUUUACAUAGUCAGGUGAAUCAAAUUAGUCAGUUCUUCCAGGGAAACAAUUAUAUUCAGGUGUCAGAACUCUCAAACUGGCACCGAUCCAAAACAUAGAAAGCAUCAUGCAGCAUGAAAGACAAUCAUCACCUCCCACGCACACUGGCAUGUGAUCGAGCACCUUUAUCACUGCUAAUGUCUUCAUCAAUUUCACUUCCAUCAACCCACACAACGUUGUUGCUUACACUCACCUCAGAACUAGCAUUACUGCUCGUGGCAAGUGGGGAGUUAGGCACGCUAAUUGACCUGCUUGUCCUGCCUCUAGUAGGCGGCCCUGAUCUCACACUGUACAUAGAGGAUGCUGGAAUAUUAGUCAUCAAGGGAUGCAGAUUACCCAAGACUCUCUGCCUUAUAUCCUGUCCAAGAGCAAUGUCUCAAAGUUAAGCAAAUCCAAAAAGGAUAAGAGAACAAGAAGGCCAACAAGACAGAUCAUCUAAAAAAAACAACACAAAUAUUGCUACUCUAAUCAGUUUUUGAAAAUAUACUUAUGUCUUCAGUCUAUGGUAGAGCACAAUAUUCUAUUAGCAUAGGAAUGUGAAAAGAAUGUAUAUACCAUAUGUCUAAUAGCCAUAUCCAAGGAUUUC
rnacentral:lncRNA from 1 species